rnacentral:lncRNA from 1 species
GGCUUGGGAAUCGGGAUUUUUAAACGCUCCCCUAGUGGCGGGCCCCGUGGCUGAGUGGUUAAGUUCUCUCGCUCCGCUUCGGAGCGCCGGUUCAGAUCCUGGGCGCAGACAUGGCACCACUCAUCAGGCCAUCCUGUGGAGUCAUCCCACAUGCCACAACUAGAAGGACCCACAACUAAAAUAUACAAGAUGAGCUUUCCCAGUGCCUUACCUCUAUAGACAGAACCUUCUUCACUAACGCAAAACACAUAAAUUAGGGAGGAGGGGGCCAAGGCUGCACAGGAAGGGGAGUGAGAGCCUCUGAGUGGAGGAAGACCAUUUCGUCCUUUGUCCUGGGAAACAAAGGAGGUUUCCAACAGCAGAGGGAAAUUGCAAUUGAAGAAAGAUCUUACAUCAUACCAAGAGCGGAGGUUCCAGAGACGUGAUUUUCAAUUUAUCAAGAUGGGCAAUGGAUACUUUCAGUGUUCCUUGAGUAACAGAAAUGGCUUUUUUAUUGGAAUGAAACAGCAGCUGGACGUUCAGUAGGGGCAGAAGUCUUUUGGGUGGAAUUGCAGAGAAGUGCCAUGCUCCUGUCCCUUGGAGGAAGGAAAGAAGACAUAAUACUAAGUCAAGUGAAGAUGUUAUACUAAGUCUGGAGUUUUGAUAUCUUGAGCUGGACAUUCUUAUUAUUGCAUUAGUCACUGCAUUAGCGUAAAGUAACCAGAUUUCACCUAUUACCCGAGAAUCAGCAGUGAUGCCUUGCAACAGACAGAGUGUUUGUCCUGAGGCAAAGGAGGGUUAUAUCCACUAAAUGUAAUUAAAGGGGACCUGGGAGACAAAAAUAAAGUUAUAUAAUGUUUGUAAAACAACGUGGUUAUAGAAAU